GGUCAACACCCCUAACAAUGAGGGACUGGGGAAGGUUUUCUUACCUGUUUAUGUAUUUGUCUUCUCCGGAGGGAGCUGCAGAGCUGGUUUAACUCCUUGUAUAACAUUUCUGGUUGGAGGAAGCUGCUCGACCUGGUCCAGCUCCUACUUUACCACUGACUGAAGAUGCACUGGCCAUCACAAGGUCUAUUAAGAAAAACCCAACAAGAGUCAGUUCUGAAUCAU